CUCCCCUCGCAGACUUCAGAGAUGGAAAGAUACAUCACACAUCUGAGGAGAGCACAAAGAAACGACACAUCAACCCCAACUAGAAGAUGCUUCUUUUUUGACUUGAACUCAGGUCUUAAGCUCCAUAAGCACAGUGAUGACUUUCGACUCACUUCCUCUAAUCAAUCUCAAGACCGUGCUGCAGUGAUGAGAAGAUAUAAACCUACAUUCAUCUAAUAACAAAAGUCUCCCUCACUGACAAAAACUGACCUCAGGCUUUAUAAAUAGGAUGCCGGGAAACAUCAUGAGCAGUAAUGUGAUGAGUAUCUCAUAAUCAAAUUAACUCCAUCCAGGGUUUCUAUGGGAAAUUUUACAUAUUGGCUAAGCCUACCUCAAUAUACAUAUAAAGAAGACAGAACACAAACAAAUCCAUUUUAAACUCUUUCAUUGUUUAAAAACAGGGAAGGUUUUAAAUGUUUAAGGUAAAAUUUGUGUACAAAUUAUAUAAUUUAUAUUAUAUUUUAUAUUAUAUUUAACAACUUCCAUAUAGAUCAGGAAACAGGUGCUAUGCUGGUCUGUGUUUGUGUGUCAUUUCUGCAAAUACAGCAAUAAACCAACUAUUAUCCCAUUUCCAGUAAAAUAACUGAAAGCUUGUUUAUAUUUGAGGUCACGUUUUCCUGAUGCCGGUCACAGCAGGUCACUCACUCCACUGGAGGAAAACGCCAAGCUCCCAAAAGGAAUACUGCAGUCACGUUUCGAGCGGGAAAUGUGGGAACAUUGUGUGCGUUGAAUAAAGUCUUCAGUUACCUCUG